UUUCUAAGGGAAAAGUCCCAUCUUCUGCGAUAAAAGAAUUUGACAAAGAAAUAACCUGAAGAUAUUGCAUCAUAUGUAUAUAGCAACAAAAAUGAGCAAAUAUUGGGCGGUUUGUUUAGGGAAAAAUCCCUUGACUUGUUUACAGCUAUCAGAUGAAACCUAUAAAGAAGUAGGGAAAGAACCCUUUACGGAUCGCCCAAUGAGAUGUUAGAAUCUCGAGAAUGAAGUUUUCUUAUUGGUUAGAAAGAGGAGAUAAACACCUAAAAUAAGACGUCAUUGAGGUUAUAAAUUUCCAUACCUCUAACGCGCCAAGUUCAAAUUAGCAAACAUUCAUCCACGAUAUCCACAAGAUAGACCACGGUCCCCUGAAAGAGCUCGAGAAGCUGCAGUCCCCACCAGUCGAGAAGUAUUAAAGCCAAAAAAGGUGCGCCAAAGUUGAACGUGACGAAAUGGUAUCAAAUAUUUGUGAAAGGUUAAUAGAAGAGGAGUGGAGGGCAUAUGAUGUCGAAAACAUACCCCGUGGCAUUGAAGGCAUAUAUUGCAUCGGUGUUUUACCCGGCGCCCCGCGACAGUUCCAUCUCGGGGGGCCAACGGUCCUUUACGUCGGUCGAACGAACGACGUCCACAGGCGACUUGUUGAGCAUAAGCGCCAGUAUUUGAAGAUUGAUCUCUUUGUCAAAGAAGAGUUUGAGGACAAUGGAGGUGAAGACUUACGAAUCAAAUGGGUGAUGGAGAGGAACCAAGAGAUCAAGGAGAAGGAAUACAUUGAAUGUAUUGCGCAUAAAUUAGGUUAUUGGCCUAAAUAUAACAUCAGGCGUUGAAAAGACGUUUGCAUAGGUUUUAGUUGGUCAGUGCAGCUUGUGAGUCAAGUAGACCUCAAAAGUUGUCUUUUAAAUUUUAAAAUUUAAUAACUGUUUAAAUCGGUUCUUGUUUUGUAUUUUAUUACUUUUAUUGCAAUGAUUUCACAAACAUAUAAACAGAGAAAUUUAAAUCAGUUAUGUCCAAUGCACUAGCAUUUUCCCACACGAUCUGUGGCUGAUAGGACCUGGUUUUCCUUGCUUCCACCUUGUAUCCAGGUACUCAUUUGUCCUCUGAGUAAAAUUUUAUUAUUAAUGAAUUUAGUACAGUGCUCAUGAGAUUAAAUGUUUUUCACAGAAAGAAUUUUUGAGCGGGAAUUUCUUUACUUCAGUUGUUUGAUUGUUCGGCAAGCUCUGAGUUGUUAGACCUUAUUAAAUUUAUUAUUCAAGUCUUCGGCGUGAUGUUUGAGUAAAACUUUGGCUUCUAGUACAACUUUGGUGGUGUCCCUGUAUACACGAAAUCGCAUAGAGUUCUAUGAA